GGUAAGAUGGCCGAGUUAAGCGGUGGGUUGUAGCCCCACAUACAGGGGUUCGAGUCCUCUUCUUAUCA
rnacentral:tRNA from 1 species